AGAUAGUGGCGGACGGGUGAGUAACACGUGGGUAACCUGCCCAUAAGAGGGGGAUAACAUCCGGAAACGGGUGCUAAUACCGCAUAGUUUUCUUGAUCGCAUGAUCGAGAAAGGAAAGACGGCCUUUGUGCUGUCGCUUAUGGAUGGACCCGCGGCGUAUUAGUUAGUUGGUGAGGUAAUGGCUCACCAAGACGAUGAUACGUAGCCGACCUGAGAGGGUGAUCGGCCACAUUGGGACUGAGACACGGCCCAAACUCCUACGGGAGGCAGCAGUAGGGAAUCUUCCGCAAUGGACGAAAGUCUGACGGAGCAACGCCGCGUGAGUGAAGAAGGUUUUCGGAUCGUAAAACUCUGUUGUAAGGGAAGAACAGGUGUGAGAGGUAAUGCUCAUGCUAUGACGGUACCUUACGAGAAAGCCACGGCUAACUACGUGCCAGCAGCCGCGGUAAUACGUAGGUGGCAAGCGUUGUCCGGAAUUAUUGGGCGUAAAGCGCGCGCAGGCGGCCUUUUAAGUCUGAUGUGAAAGCCCCCGGCUCAACCGGGGAGGGUCAUUGGAAA
rnacentral:rRNA from 1 species